UACAUGCUUUUUGAUUUUUUAUAAUAACACUUAGGAAACAGAAAAAUAAGAAAAAAGAAUAGUUUUAGGCUCAAUUUUUUUUUAAACUAAGAAUAACCUAAGCCUUAGUUUUGCCAUAAAAUAAGAACAAUCUAAAUGUAAAUUCUAUUCCAAUAGGGAAUAGCACAAUAGCAGAAUUCCCAAGCUCUCAAAGCUCCUCAAAAUUUCCCAAUUUUUUAGGGAAAUUUUUAAAGGCGAUUAAAAGGCGCUGAGCGUAGGCAGCUUUUUUUUAAAACAAUAGCUGCCUAUAUCUCUGCUUCAAAUGUUAUUUUUUUGAUUUCCACUUGUCAAAAGCAGCAAAAAGAGCGCGUAAACUUUUAAACGACAAAAAUAUGUAAACAUGAACGUUUGACGUAGAAAACUAUUGCUGCUUAAGAAAAUAAGUUUUAUCAAACUAUUGUUGUUGCUGAAUGAAGAAAAACAAAACAAAUAGUAUGCAAAAAGGUUUUGGAUAAGAAGGCUGUAUCAAGAACGAAAACUAAAAGGAGAACUCAGGUGUUUAUAUUUCCCGACUUUUUUGGAACAUCAAAUACGCAUGUGUCGGAUACCGAAGAUUUAGAUAGUCGGCGUGAUAGCUUGUCGAACAAAUACGAUUUUUUUCGUCGCAGAAAUAAGCUGGUUGACUGAAACCAAACUUUAUAAAUGCUAAAGAAAUUCUAUACAUCAAGUUGUGGCUACAUGAAAUUCCAGAAAUCAAGUUGUUGCCACAUGAAAUUCCAAACAGCGCACACUUCCAUAGUUCAAGAUCACAUAAAAACAUCCAAUGCGCCAUACUGUAGUACAAGUAGUGUAUAAAAAAUGCAAGCAAAAGUGUGUGCUUCGUCAGUACGGGAUCUUUCCUUGAUUGGGUGACUCUACAAUGUUCUACAAUGUCAAGAUAACAGUCAAGACUUUAUUUUAUAAGCAUUUUUUAAAUAUUACAGAUCGUUUGAUUGUUCUAUAGAUUGUUAUGUUGUUUAUUGUCAUGCGAACGUUGACCCCGAGAUUCUUUCACCUUAAAUGUUCACAAUAACCACAAUAAACCAUUUUGAUUGUACUUUGCUCUUCAUCUCAGAGAUUUAAAUAUGCAUUUUGUGUUAUAAUACUUUGUGAUGUAAUGGCGUAUAGGAAACCCUCAGUGCCGUUAUCAUUUUUUAUAUUAUUGUAGUCGUGUAAUGUAAAUAGUAUCUCUUUCUAUCUUUUGGUUUCUGAUGGAAAUUUUUAUCUAAAUUUGAUGCCAAUUAAACAAUGCAGCUUUUCUAAAUUACAAAAAUAGGAAAACACUUAUCGUGAUUUUUUAACAUUGAACCAUGAGAUCGUUGAAGUCUUGAAGGGCAUUUUCCGCCAAUCUAGAGAUGUAAAAUUUAAAAAAUUUUCGUCCACCCAAUAUUAAAAUUGUGGUUACCGCACUAACCCCUAACCAAGGCUAGUUGCGUUUUUAAAAAAAGUGCGUUACUUGAAGCUACCAUUCCUCCCAGCUUAUGCCCAACAAGCGAAUAAAACGUUUUUGAAGAUCCAAAAAUGGUCGUGCUGAAGCCAAAAAACAUGAACAUUUUUCAAGAGCAUCGUAAAAUGCCAAAAUCAAGCGCAGCGCUUAUCAGUGGUGAUAGCAAGUAUUUGAUGCGAAUUUCUGAGGGUGCGCUUAUAAUCGGGUGCGCUUGAUUUCGGCAUUUUACGAUAUGUAUUUAACCAAAUCACAUCAAAUUCGCCGAAACAUUGACAAGUUCGAAAUGAGCGUUUUAUUAUAGAAAUACAUGUAAUUACUUAAUAA